GACGAACGCUGGCGGCGUGCUUAACACAUGCAAGUCGAACGGAAAGGCCCUGCUUUUGUGGGGUGCUCGAGUGGCGAACGGGUGAGUAACACGUGAGUAACCUGCCCUUGACUUUGGGAUAACUUCAGGAAACUGGGGCUAAUACCGGAUAGGAGCUCCUGCUGCAUGGUGGGGGUUGGAAAGUUUCGGCGGUUGGGGAUGGACUCGCGGCUUAUCAGCUUGUUGGUGGGGUAGUGGCUUACCAAGGCUUUGACGGGUAGCCGGCCUGAGAGGGUGACCGGCCACAUGGGGACUGAGAUACGGCGCAGACUGCUACGGGAGGCAGCAGUGGGGAAUAUUGCACAAUGGGCGGAAGCCUGAUGCAGCAACGCCGCGUGCGGGAUGACGGCCUUCGGGUUGUAAACCGCUUUCGCCUGUGACGAAGCGUGAGUGACGGUAAUGGGUAAAGAAGCACCGGCUAACUACGUG
rnacentral:rRNA from 1 species